UGUUAAAAAAUUCAUCCAUUUCUACUAUUAAAAACUGAUGUGGUUAAUAGAAUAACCACGCCACGUGUACCUCAUUCUAAUAUAAAAGACCAGUUUUUAAUAGUAGAAAUGGAUAGAAUUUUUAACA
rfam:Gossypium hirsutum cultivar TM-1 chromosome 3, whole genome shotgun sequence